rnacentral:ncRNA from 1 species
UAUCUGGUUGAUCCUUUGCCCAGUAGUCAUAUGCUUGGUCUCAAAGAUUAAGCCAUGCAUGUCUAAGUACAAACCUUAAUACGGUGAAACCGCGAAUGGCUCAUUAAAUCAGCUAUGGUUCCUUAGAUCGUCUCAUCCUACUUCGGAUAACUGUGGGAAAAUCUAGAGCUAAUACGUGCUUUACAAGCCUGACUCACGGGAGGGCGCAUUUAUUUAGAUCAAAACCAAUCGGGGCUUGCCCGUCUGCUUGGUGAUCUGGAUAACUUUUGUGCUGAUCGCAUUGGCCUCUGCGCUGGCGACGUAUCUUUCAAGUGUCUGCCAUUCAACUUACGAUGGUAGGUGAUAUGCCUACGCAUGGUGUAUAAACGGGUAACGGGGAAUCAGCGGUCGUUCGAUUCCGGGAGGGAGCCUGAGAAAACGGCUAAACAACAUCUAAGGAAGCAGCAGCAGCGCCGCAAUUACCCACUCCCGGCACGGGGAGUAGUGACGAAAAAUAACGAUACGGGACUCUUUUUGAGGCCGUAAUUGGAAUUGAGUACACUUUCAAAUCCUGUUACACAAGUAUCUAUUGGAGGGCAAGUCCUCCUGGUGCCCAGCAGCCGCAGGUAAAUUCCAGCUCAAUAGCGUAUAUUAAUGUUGCUGCAGUUAAAGCUCGUAAGUUGGAUCUGAGACUCGAAUUGGUGUGCACCAUACGGUGUUACUGCCGAUUCGGCCUACCUAGUCGGUGCUCGCUCUUGGUUUCUUAAUUGAAUGCCCUGAGUCCCGCAAGUUUACUUUGAAAAAAAUUAGAGUGCCAAAGCAGGACAUUAGCCGGAAUCUUUCAGCAAUGGAAUAAUGGGAAUAGGACUUCGGUUUCUAUUUUGUGGUUUUUCGGAACCGAGGUAAUGAUUAAGAAGAAGACGGGGGCAUUCGUACUGCGGUGUUAGAGGUGAAAUUCUUGGAUCGCGCAAGACGAACAACUGCGAAAGCAAUUGCCAAGAAUGUUUUCAUUACAUCAAGAACUGAAAGUCAAGGUUCGAAGACGAUCAGAUACCGACCUAGUUCUGAACCAUAAACGAUGCAAACUGGCGAUCCGAGAUCGUUUGCUUAUU